GGCUCCGGUGGUCUAGUAGUUAGAGCUUCCGCCUCGGAUGCGGGAGGUCGUGUGUUCGAUCCCUGGCCAAGUCG